CUUGAUCGAGCCCAGCAGCAGCGGCGUGCCCCGGUCCCGGCCGUACGUGGCGAGCAGCGCCUGCGCCUC
rfam:Cryptosporangium arvum DSM 44712 genomic scaffold CryarDRAFT_CAH.1, whole genome shotgun sequence.